rnacentral:rRNA from 1 species
UACGAAGGGGGCUAGCGUUGUUCGGAAUUACUGGGCGUAAAGCGCACGUAGGCGGGUCGUUAAGUCAGGGGUGAAAUCCCGGAGCUCAACUCCGGAACUGCCUUUGAUACUGGCGAUCUUGAGAUCGGAAGAGGUGAGUGGAAUUCCCAGUGUAGAGGUGAAAUUCGUAGAUAUUCGCAAGAACACCAGUGGCGAAGGCGGCUCACUGGCCCGGUACUGACGCUGAGGUGCGAAAGCGUGGGGAGCAAACCGG